CACACAAACCGCACUCAACAUCCAGAGUGUCGGAUCUGAAAAUAAAUAUAGAGUACUAAAGGGCGGAGUAGAAUUGAUACAGCGCGAAUAUGAGGAUUGUCAACAUCGAAUCAAAUCCACACACAUCGCAUUCCCGCAUGAACGUAGUUGGUUCCUCUGCUAUAUAAGGAAUGAUAUUGACAGCAGUAGUCUAAGAAAUUGUGGAUUCAAGACACCAACAGCUAACAGAAAAUGAGACUGUUGUUUUUCCUCGCUCUUGUUCUCUUGGUUGCUAAUGUUAUGGAUGGCGUUACUGGAGACGACACAGGCAAUGGCGGCAAUACCGGGGACAAUAAUCAGGAAACCGAUCCCAACCGAGCAUUAGCAGAGGGUGGAGGAACCCCAUGGCAAAGCUCGGGGAAUCAUCCAUAAUCGUGAAUUUUAAAGGCUCUUCAGGAAGACAACUGCAUGGGGACAAAGUUCCUAUUGUACAAUUGUGCGCCUUUGGAAUAAAACAAAAUUGAUGUGAACAAAA